UAGCUCAGUUGGUAGAGCAGUUGACUUUUAAUCAAUUGGUCGCAGGUUCGAAUCCUGCACGACCCACCAAUUUUGAAGCAAGAAAUGAAGUGGAAUCGGGAAGGAUAACAUCACGAAGUGAUGGCCCGUCAGGGCGAGGCCAAAGGCCGAGUCAUCCUGCACGACCCACCA
rnacentral:sRNA from 1 species